rnacentral:lncRNA from 1 species
ACACCCCUUACCCGAGACCGUUUCUGUAGUUGAGCAUGGGGCGUUACUUGACUUAACUUAUUAGUUCGGGGCAUAAAAAUUUGCUUUUAAAAUUUAUUUCACUGUUCACCAUAAUGCUGUGCACCUGCGCAGCAGUCACUAAUUUAACUAUACAUCGAGUUACAAAACUCAAAAUUUAGAUCCAUAAAUUUUCCCUAAAACUAGACUCAUAUAUUAUCUUACCAUAAAAUUUUAAAAAUUUUUGGUUUAACCAAUUAGUACAGUUUAUUCAUUAAAGUCUCCCC